CCUUCUGUACCCCCCAUUGUAACACGUGUGUAGCCCCGGACGUAAGGGCCGUGCUGAUUUGACGUCAUCCCCACCUUCCUCACAUCUUACGACGGCAGUCUCUCCAGAGUCCUCAGCAUGACCUGUUAGUAACUGAAGAUAAGGGUUGCGCUCGUUAUGGCACUUAAGCCGACACCUCACGGCACGAGCUGACGACAACCAUGCAGCACCUUCACAAAUGCCUUGCGGCUAUACUGUUUCCAGCAUAUUCAUUUGCAAUUUAAGCCCGGGUAAGGUUCCUCGCGUAUCAUCGAAUUAAACCACAUGUUCCUCCGCUUGUGCGGGCCCCCGUCAAUUCCUUUGAGUUUCACCGUUGCCGGCGUACUCCCCAGGUGGAAUACUUAAUGCUUUCGCUUGGCCGCUUACUGUAUAUCGCAAACAGCGAGUAUUCAUCGUUUACUGUGUGGACUACCAGGGUAUCUAAUCCUGUUUGAUACCCACACUUUCGAGCAUCAGUGUCAGUUGCAGUCCAGUGAGCUGCCUUCGCAAUCGGAGUUCUUCGUGAUAUCUAAGCAUUUCACCGCUACACCACGAAUUCCGCCCACCUCUACUGUACUCAAGACACGCAGUAUCAACUGCAAUUUUACGGUUGAGCCGCAAACUUUCACAACUGACUUACAUGUCCACCUACGCUCCCUUUAAACCCAAUAAAUCCGGAUAACGCUCGGAUCCUCCGUAUUACCGCGGCUGCUGGCACGGAGUUAGCCGAUCCUUAUUCAUAUGGUACAUACAAAAUGCCACACGUGGCAGACUUUAUUCCCAUAUAAAAGAAGUUUACAACCCAUAGGGCGGUCAUCCUUCACGCUACUUGGCUGGUUCAGGCUCUCGCCCAUUGACCAAUAUUCCUCACUGCUGCCUCCCGUAGGAGUUUGGACCGUGUCUCAGUUCCAAUGUGGGGGACCUUCCUCUCAGAACCCCUAUCCAUCGAAGGUUUGGUGGGCCGUUACCCCGCCAACUGCCUAAUGGAACGCAUCCCCAUCCUUUACCGAAAUUC
rnacentral:rRNA from 1 species